UACAAUUUAAAUGACAAUGUCGACAGAGUAACAAACAAUGCUGUGGAGUCUGUUAUUAUUGGGAUUUCUUUUCGUGGUGAUGCAGAUAACUAAUGCCUUUCCACAAUAUGGAUAUUAUCAUCACACCGGCCAAAGUUAUGGGGUUAGGUGGUAUGGACCUGGAGGUUAAUCACAGCCAGUUCCUUUACUGGAUUGAAGUCAAUUUUUUUUAUAUAUAUUAAUAAUAUAAUAUAAUAUAAUAAUUAUUUUGAAAAAAAAACA